rnacentral:misc_RNA from 1 species
AACGCAUAUUGCGCUCUCUGGUAUUCCGGGGAGCAUGCCUGUUUCAGCAUCAUUUGACCAUCUCAAAAUCAUUUUGGGUGAUUUUGGAAAGUUGGGCUUUUCUUGUUGUGUUGAUGACUUGACACAGCUAGCCUAAAAUUUGUGACAAAUAAAUGCAAGAAAACAUGUAGAUGCUUUGUUUUGUUAAAGACGAAAAGCCAAUUAGUUGACUGUGGUCAAAUUUGCUGACUAGUCUUCAAAAGCUAAGCAAAUCUGCAUUCACAAAUUGAUCUGAAAUCAGGUAGGAUUACCCGCUGAACUUAA